rnacentral:tRNA from 1 species
GCCUGGGUGGCCUAGUCGGUUGGGCAUCUGAUUUCGGCUCAGGUUAUGGUCUCGCGGUUUAUGGGUUCGAGCCCCAUGUCAGGCU